rnacentral:lncRNA from 1 species
AAAUUUCUUGCCAUUUGAAAAUUAUUUUAGCUCAAAUAAAAAUCAUGAUGACUCUUGUAAGUCUUGUUGACUUUAUCCAUCCUAAUGAUCAAAUGGAUUCAGUGACUCUAGACUAGAAUAGAGGCAAGCACGAGGAUUCUUCCUUUUUUUUUUUCUACCUUGCUCAACACGUUGAAGACUUUUCGUUAAGAUUCUCCCCCCAACCACUAUAAAUUUGGCACCCAAAAAACUUGAACUAAAACUUAGCUGAGAUAUUAGCCAUGAAUAUCAUCAGAAUGGGACUACUUGUGUGCUCAAGCUUGCCCCUUUUGAGCUGCUUUAUGGAACUUUUUGUUGCUGCCACUGCUUCUCAACCACACUUCAACACCGCGUCGUCCGAGGAAAAUAAGAUGCACAAGAAGAAAGAUGUAUCAAUCACUGCUAAUGUGGCAGCCCAAAAGCACUUUCGACAAAUUCAACAAAUAUGUUAAGGGGAUCUUGAAUUCAAGUUUUGGAGGUAGUAUAGUAAUGUUUUGUGAUAAUAUUUAGGAGUCAUAUCUAAUUUUCUCAAUUAAUGUUGUUAGACUUCUUAAAAUUCUGGGCAGAAAUUUCCAUUAGGCAUAAGUUUGACCACUAUAUGUAAACCUUAAUUGAUUGUUGUGUUGUCUGAGUGCUUCUUGUAUUGUAUUAGUAGCUGAUUUUUAGGUUUGUUGACUUUUGGUAUACAAGAAAAAUUAGUACUGACUGGUGGCGGCUGCUACAAGUGUUGAAACUCAGAAACAAGUGAGAACAAAAGGGGUUAUAUUAAAUGUGACCAAAAUAUUGUUAUUCUGAAUCUAUAUUCUUAAUGGUGAUGAUAAAGUGCAAACUCAAAAACCACCCAUAACUAAAUCUAAACCAAUCAUAGGUAACUUCAGACAAGCAAUGUUAGCUCAGCUGGCUGUACAAUACUAAUCGCAUAACAUCCCACACAAAUUCAGGAUGGUGUUGAGGACACUGAUUUGAUUUCCUUAACCAUAGUUUGUUCCUGUCUUCCUGAGAUGAGACUGGACCAUGACUUGGUGGGGCUUGUGUGUCCAUAAUUAACUUUUCUCCCAGGCUUAUUAAUCAAUUAUUCAUCCACACACAGCAACUUCCAAACCCUAGGAUCUGUAUAAAAUUUGUGCCAGACAUGCAUACUUGCAUCUAAUUGGAUUUAAAUGGAAGUGGUAAAAGGAAAAAGGUGCCUGGGAGCCAGGGGAAGAUAACCAAUUCUCAAUGGCUUCUUAGUUCUGAGUGGGAUGAGAUUCAUUUAGAUAUUCUUUGUCACAAACGAUUUUGUCAAUCAUUUAUAAUAUAAAAUAGAUGAUGAUACUUUGUAAAUCGGUAUAAAUAGGUAAAUCGAAAUUAUUAUUAAAUGAAGAUAAAAAAAAGUCAUUUUUUUAAUAUUCUAUAUAUAUAGGAUUUUGAAAUACUUACGGAGUAAGAGUAAAGAUUCAGGCAAAUUAAUCUGUCUUGAUUUUUUUUUUAUACUUAAUGAAAUUACUCAAUGAAUUAAUGAAAUGGGAUAAAACAGAAAUCUUAUUAUUUCUACCUGUUAGUAACAUUCAUUUAGUUAAAACUUCUGAGGUUGUUUCUCGAUGUGUUGUUCAUGCUUAAUAUUUUUUGAUUUUACUGAAGUUCUGGGACUAACAGAGCAGAUGAAAAUAACUCAGUCAUUUUUUUUCUUUUUUGUUUCAAUUAAGUAUCUCUUAAUUAAUAUUAAUGCUCAGAUAAGAAAUACAAAGAAAUCUUCCUAGCCAAUACUGAAUAGCAAAAUGGAUGACCAACACUAAGCAGUAUCGAAAUCACUGUAUAAACACGUUUUUUUUUAAUUAAUUAAAUUCAAAAGAAUGCAACCAAUUAACAAUGAUUUACUUUGUGAUAUCUUUGAAACUUGUUUGCUUAUAAGCUUUGGGUUAACUAUCAUACUCACAAAGUUCACUAAAACAACUUUAAAAACUAGAUUAAAACUAAACCAUGUAAUGAUUGAGGACUUGCUAACCCAUAAAUUAAAGAGUUUUUGUCGAAGUGUUAUUUUUGUAGAACAUGAUAAGUUAUUUAAAGAAAAAUUAUUAAAUGCUUGUAUUUUUUUAUUUGAUGAUUUUCAUUUUUAAUUAGUACGUUAUCAAAACUCUACUAAAUUCUAAACUCAGCUGUGAGGAUUUAUCAUCUGGGGAAUGAGUGUCGAAUUAGGAUAAUGAAACCUUACACCCUAAUCUUUGAUAAAUUCUAGCUGAGCUUUGACGUGUGCCACUACUAACAACUUAAGUACUUUAUUAGCUUGGACUGCUUUAAAUGGUGCAACUACAGCACAUGCACAUCAUAAGCACAUUAUUUGAUCUUAAUUACUCGUCUGUAUUUGACAGGAUAUGACACUUUUUGUGCGGUUAAUAAGAUCAAAUAACAUGCUAAUUUCUAGAAAGCACAAC